AAAAUCUCAAAAACGAAAGAAGUCAAGAUGGCGUCAGGAUACGAGGGUCAUGUUUCAAAACGACAGAGACGAGAUAAUGAUGAGAAUCCAUUGAAUCCCUCCCCAUCACAAGUGGUUCAUGUCAGAGGGCUGGCAGAGAACAUAUUGGAACAGGAUCUCAAGGAUGCCGUGCAGCAGUUUGGAACAGUCAGCUAUAUAGUUUUGAUGCCAAGAAAACACCAAGCCUUGGUUGAAUUUGAAG